GAUGAACGCUGGCGGCGUGCCUAAUACAUGCAAGUCGAGCGAACAGACGAGGAGCUUGCUCCUCUGACGUUAGCGGCGGACGGGUGAGUAACACGUGGAUAACCUACCUAUAAGACUGGGAUAACUUCGGGAAACCGGCGCUAAUACCGGAUAAUAUAUUGAACCGCAUGGUUCAAUAGUGAAAGACGGUUUUGCUGUCACUUAUAGAUGGAUCCGCGCGGCAUUAGCUAGUUGGUAAGGUAACGGCUUACCAAGGCGACGAUGCGUAGCCGACCUGAGAGGGUGAUCGGCCACACUGGAACGGAGACACGGUCCAGACUCCUACGGGAGGCAGCAGUAGGGAAUCUUCCGCAGAGGGCGAAAGCCUGACGGAGCAACGCCGCGUGAGUGAUGAAGGUCUUCGGAUCGUAAAACUCUGUUAUUAGGGAAGAACAAAUGUGUAAGUAACUAUGCACGUCUUGACGGUACCUAAUCAGAAAGCCACGGCUAACUACGUG
rnacentral:rRNA from 1 species